UACGACAAUUUCUUUUCCUCGUUUUGCUGUCGCGUGUAACUAAUUGAUACUAAAUUAUUAACUUACUAAAUUAAAUUAAAUUUCUGUCACAGAGAUCCAAUAGAGUAGAUACAGUUACGUGGUUCUAGGGGAUGCUUGGGGGUUGCCGCGCCGGAGGAUUAGGCUCGGGCCUGUCUGAGUCGGCUCGAAGAAACGAGCACUCGUCUCUAAGGGGAUGCUGCGCCGGAGGAUCCGGCUCAGGCCUGGCACAGUUGGCGCGAAGAGAGGAAGCAGACGACUAGCCGACUCUUAAGGGCUGCUGCGCCAGAGGAUCUGACUCGGGCCGAGCGGGGUUAGCUCGAAGAAACGAAAGCAGAAUGUGGCUACCCUGAUCGGCGGUUUGGUGAGUCAAAAC